rnacentral:rRNA from 1 species
CCUACGGGGGUCAGCAGUGAGGAAUAUUGGUCAAUGGGCGCGAGCCUGAACCAGCCAAGUAGCGUGAAGGAUGACUGCCCUACGGGUUGUAAACUUCUUUUAUAAAGGAAUAAAGUGAGGCACGUGUGCCUUUUUGCAUGUACUUUAUGAAUAAGGAUCGGCUAACUCCGUGCCAGCAGCCGCGGUAAUACGGAGGAUCCGAGCGUUAUCCGGAUUUAUUGGGUUUAAAGGGAGCGUAGAUGGGUUGUUAAGUCAGUUGUGAAAGUUUGCGGCUCAACCAUAAAAUUGCAAUUGAUACUGGCAGCCUUGAGUGCGGUUGAGGUAGGCGGAAUUCGUGGUGUAGCGGUGAAAUGCUUAGAUAUCACGAAGAACUCCGAUUGCGAAGGCAGCUUACUAAACUGUCACUGACAUUGAUGCUCGAAAGUGUGGGUAUCAAACAGGAUUAGAUACCCGUGUAGUC